rnacentral:ncRNA from 1 species
GUCGGCGCCUCCGGGCGCCGGUGAAAAGGGAACCCGGUGCGAAUCCGGGACGAGGCCGUCACUGUGUACGGGAGCUGCCCUCACCUUCAGUCCUUGCGUCACUGGCUGUCUGCCGCUUCUUCUUUUUGGCGGCCGUGCCGGGAAGACGGAGGGCGGCAGAGACCAAAGUCAGGAGACCUGCCGGUAUGUUU